UUAAAUUGAAGAGUUUGAUCAUGGCUCAGAUUGAACGCUGGCGGCAGGCCUAACACAUGCAAGUCGAACGGUAACAGAAAGCAGCUUGCUGCUUUGCUGACGAGUGGCGGACGGGUGAGUAAUGUCUGGGAAACUGCCUGAUGGAGGGGGAUAACUACUGGAAACGGUAGCUAAUACCGCAUAACGUCGCAAGACCAAAGAGGGGGACCUUCGGGCCUCUUGCCAUCGGAUGUGCCCAGAUGGGAUUAGCUAGUAGGUGGGGUAACGGCUCACCUAGGCGACGAUCCCUAGCUGGUCUGAGAGGAUGACCAGCCACACUGGAACUGAGACACGGUCCAGACUCCUACGGGAGGCAGCAGUGGGGAAUAUUGCACAAUGGGCGCAAGCCUGAUGCAGCCAUGCCGCGUGUAUGAAGAAGGCCUUCGGGUUGUAAAGUACUUUCAGCGGGGAGGAAGGGAGUAAAGUUAAUACCUUUGCUCAUUGACGUUACCCGCAGAAGAAGCACCGGCUAACUCCGUGCCAGCAGCCGCGGUAAUACGGAGGGUGCAAGCGUUAAUCGGAAUUACUGGGCGUAAAGCGCACGCAGGCGGUUUGUUAAGUCAGAUGUGAAAUCCCCGGGCUCAACCUGGGAACUGCAUCUGAUACUGGCAAGCUUGAGUCUCGUAGAGGGGGUAGAAUUCCAGGUGUAGCGGUGAAAUGCGUAGAGAUCUGGAGGAAUACCGGUGGCGAAGGCGGCCCCCUGGACGAAGACUGACGCUCAGGUGCGAAAGCGUGGGGAGCAAACAGGAUUAGAUACCCUGGUAGUCCACGCCGUAAACGAUGUCGACUUGGAGGUUGUGCCCUUGAGGCGUGGCUUCCGGAGCUAACGCGUUAAGUCGACCGCCUGGGGAGUACGGCCGCAAGGUUAAAACUCAAAUGAAUUGACGGGGGCCCGCACAAGCGGUGGAGCAUGUGGUUUAAUUCGAUGCAACGCGAAGAACCUUACCUGGUCUUGACAUCCACGGAAGUUUUCAGAGAUGAGAAUGUGCCUUCGGGAACCGUGAGACAGGUGCUGCAUGGCUGUCGUCAGCUCGUGUUGUGAAAUGUUGGGUUAAGUCCCGCAACGAGCGCAACCCUUAUCCUUUGUUGCCAGCGGUCCGGCCGGGAACUCAAAGGAGACUGCCAGUGAUAAACUGGAGGAAGGUGGGGAUGACGUCAAGUCAUCAUGGCCCUUACGACCAGGGCUACACACGUGCUACAAUGGCGCAUACAAAGAGAAGCGACCUCGCGAGAGCAAGCGGACCUCAUAAAGUGCGUCGUAGUCCGGAUUGGAGUCUGCAACUCGACUCCAUGAAGUCGGAAUCGCUAGUAAUCGUGGAUCAGAAUGCCACGGUGAAUACGUUCCCGGGCCUUGUACACACCGCCCGUCACACCAUGGGAGUGGGUUGCAAAAGAAGUAGGUAGCUUAACCUUCGGGAGGGCGCUUACCACUUUGUGAUUCAUGACUGGGGUGAAGUCGUAACAAGGUAACCGUAGGGGAACCUGCGGUUGGAUCACCUCCUUACCUUAAAGAAGC
rnacentral:rRNA from 1 species